UACGUAGGGGGCAAGCGUUGUCCGGAAUCAUUGGGCGUAAAGAGCGUGUAGGCGGCCCGAUAAGUCCGCUGUGAAAGUCCAGGGCUCAACCCUGGAAUGCCGGUGGAUACUGUCGGGCUCGAAUCCGGAAGAGGUGAGUGGAAUUCCUGGUGUAGCGGUGAAAUGCGCAGAUAUCAGGAGGAACACCAGUGGCGAAGGCAGCUCACUGG
rnacentral:rRNA from 1 species